UACGAAGGGGGCGAGCGUUGUUCGGAAUUACUGGGCGUAAAGGGCGCGUAGGCGGCGACUCUAGUCAGAUGUGAAAGUCCUGGGCUUAACCUGGGGACUGCAUUUGAUACUGGGUUGCUUGAAUUCGGGAGAGGAUAGCGGAAUUCCCAGUGUAGAGGUGAAAUUCGUAGAUAUUGGGAAGAACACCGGUGGCGAAGGCGGCUAUCUGGACCGGCAUUGACGCUGAGGAGCGAAAGCCAGGGGAGCAAACGGG
rnacentral:rRNA from 1 species